CUACGGGAGGCAGCAGUAGGGAAUCUUCCACAAUGGACGAAAGUCUGAUGGAGCAACGCCGCGUGAGUGAUGAAGGUUUUCGGAUCGUAAAACUCUGUUGUUAAAGAAGAACAAGUGUUAGAGUAACUGUUAACACUUUGACGGUAUUUAACCAGAAAGCCACGGCUAACUACGUGCCAGCAGCCGCGGUAAUACGUAGGUGGCAAGCGUUGUCCGGAUUUAUUGGGCGUAAAGCGAGCGCAGGCGGUUUUGUAAGUCUGCUGUGAAAGCCCUCAGCUCAACUGAGGAAGUGCAGUGGAAACUACAAAACUUGAGUACAGAAGAGGAAAGUGGAACUCCAUGUGUAGCGGUGAAAUGCGUAGAUAUAUGGAAGAACACCAGUGGCGAAGGCGGCUUUCUGGUCUGUUACUGACGCUGAGGCUCGAAAGCAUGGGUAGCGAACAGGAUUAGAUACCCUGGUAGUCCAUGCCGUAAACGAUGAAUACUAGGUGUUGGAGGGUUUCCGCCCUUCAGUGCCGCAGCUAACGCAUUAAGUUCCGCCUGGGGAGUACAACCGCAAGGUUGAAACUCAAAGGAAUUGACGGGGGGCCGCACAAGUGGUG
rnacentral:rRNA from 2 species